GCCUCCUUAGCUCAGUUGGUAGAGCAGCUGACUCUUAAUCAGCGGGUCGAAGGUUCGAAUCCUUCAGGGGGCA
rnacentral:tRNA from 1 species